rnacentral:rRNA from 1 species
UACGUAGGGGGCGAGCGUUGUCCGGAUUUACUGGGCGUAAAGGGUGAGUAGGCGGUUAUAUAUGUCAGGUGUAAAAAGCUAUGGCUUAACCAUAGUAAGCACUUGAAACUGUAUGACUUGAGUGCAGGAGAGGUAAGCGGAAUUCCUAGUGUAGCGGUGAAAUGCGUAGAUAUUAGGAGGAACACCGGUGGCGAAGGCGGCUUACUGGACUGUAACUGACGCUGAGUCACGAAAGCGUGGGUAGCAAACAGG